rnacentral:tRNA from 1 species
GCAAGUUAAUCAGGUAAAUUCCACCGGUCUUGAAAACCGGCGUACGGGAAACCGUACCGUGGGUUCGAAUCCCACCUCUUCCGCCA